rnacentral:rRNA from 1 species
UACGGGGGGGCAAGCGUUGUUCGGAAUUACUGGGCGUAAAGGGCCAGUAGGCGGCCAACUAAGUCGGAUGUGAAAUCCCCAGGCUUAACCUGGGAACUGCAUCCGAUACUGGAUGGCUUGAAUUCGGGAGAGGGAUGCAGAAUUCCAGGUGUAGCGGUGAAAUGCGUAGAUAUCUGGAGGAAUACCGGUGGCGAAGGCGGCAUCCUGGACCGACAUUGACGCUGAACGGCGAAAGCUAGGGGAGCAAACGGG